GCCGGGGUGGUGGAACUGGCAUUCACGUGGCGCUCAAAACGCCAUGCCCGCAAGGGCAUGCGGGUUCGACUCCCGCCCCCGGUACCA
rnacentral:tRNA from 1 species